UGAAGAGAGCAUCACUGUUUUAUUUGGUGUUGAGGCUUUUUCAGAGGAUCACUCUUGUGUCACUCUGAAAACUGAGACAAAUGUGACUGUUGGUUGCCCUUUUAACCGGCAUAUAGUCUCCAGAGGAAAACCUACCAGAUGUAGCAGUUUCAAAA